ACGUGAAACCGUUCAGGGGUAAACCUGAGAAACCCGAAAGGUCGAAAGGGGAGAUUCAUUCGCGUCUCGCUCGAUCGGGCAGGGCGAGUGUGCGACGGACGGCCUAGUGUCGUGCGCGCCUCUCGUUCAACGCCAGCGGUCGGCGAACGCGUGCACUUCUCCCCCAGUAGGACGUCGCGAUCCGUUGGGUGCCGGUCUAAGGCCCGCGGUGGAGCCCGUCCGGUCGGCUUUGCCGUACCGGGCGGACCCGCGGUGUCCCGGCCGGCCCGCUCGACGGUAUACAGACGGCGCGGGGCCGCGACUCAGUUCGCGUCCGGCCCGCGGCAAGCGCUGCACGCGCGCCGGCGUUCGGACCUAGUGCCGAUGCCGACCCGUCGCUGGCUGUUGGCCGCGGUGUUCUCGGACAGACCUCGUCGAAACGCCGAUCUGCGACGCUAUAGCUUUGGGUACUUUCAGGACCCGUCUUGAA
rnacentral:rRNA from 1 species